rnacentral:rRNA from 1 species
CUACGGGUGGCACCAGGCGAGAAAACUUUGCAAUGUGCGAAAGCACGACAAGGUUAAUCCGAGUGGUUUCUGCUAAAGGAACCUUUUGUCGGCCCUAGAAACACCGAUGAAUAAGGGGUGGGCAAGUUCUGGUGUCAGCCGCCGCGGUAAAACCAGCACCUCAAGUGGUCAGGAUGAUUAAUGGGCCUAAAGCAUCCGUAGCCGGCUCUAUAAGUUUUCGGUUAAAUCUGUAUGCUCAACAUACAGGCUGCCGGGAAUACUGCAGAGCUAGGGAGUGGGAGAGGUAGACGGUACUCGGUAGGAAGGGGUAAAAUCCUUUGAUCUAUUGAUGACCACCUGUGGCGAAGGCGGUCUACCAGAACACGUCCGACGGUGAGGGAUGAAAGCUGGGGGAGCAAACCGGAUUAGAUACCCCUGUAGUC